rnacentral:rRNA from 1 species
AGCAGCAGCCACGGUAAUACGGAGGGGGCUAGCGUUGUUCGGAAUUACUGGGCGUAAAGCGCACGUAGGCGGCUUGGUAAGUUAGAGGUGAAAGCCUGGAGCUCAACUCCAGAAUUGCCUUUAAGACUGCCGAGCUAGCAGGUGAGAGAGGUAAGUGGAAUUCCGAGUGUAGAAGUGAAAUUCGUAGAUAUUCGGAAGAACACCAGUGGCGAAGGCGGCUUACUGGCUCAUACUGGACGCUGAGGUGCGAGAGCGUGGGGAGCAAACAGGAUUAGAUACCCCUGUAGUCCCUGUCUCUUAUAC